rnacentral:rRNA from 1 species
CGCCGCGUGAGGGACGACGGCCUAAGGGUUGUAAACCUCUUUUAGCAGGGAAGAAGCGAAAGUGACGGUACCUGCAGAAAAAGCGCCGGCUAACUACGUGCCAGCAGCCGCGGUAAUACGUAGGGCGCAAGCGUUAUCCGGAAUUAUUGGGCGUAAAGAGCUCGUAGGCGGUUUGUCGCGUCUGCUGUGAAACCCCGAGGCUCAACCUCGGGCCUGCAGUGGGUACGGGCAGACUAGAGUGCGGUAGAGGAGAUUGGAAUUCCUGGUGUAGCGGUGGAAUGCGCAGAUAUCAGGAGGAACACCGAUGGCGAAGGCAGAUCUCUGGGCCGUAACUGACGCUGAGGAGCGAAAGGGUGGGGAGCAAACAGGCUUAGAUACCCUGGUAGUCCACCCCGUAAACGUUGGGAACUAGUUGUGGGGUCCAUUCCACGGAUUCCGUGACGCAGCUAACGCAUUAAGUUCCCCGCCUGGGGAGUACGGCCGCAAGGCUAAAACUCAAAGGAAUUGACGGGGACCCGCACAAGCGGCGGAGCAUGCGGAUUAAUUCGAUGCAACGCGAAGAACCUUACCAAGGCUUGACAUAUACGAGAACGGGCCAGAAAUGGUCAACUCUUUGGAC